rnacentral:tRNA from 1 species
GGGCAGGUGCCAGAGUGGACAAUUGGACCUGGCUGUAAACCAGGCGCGUAAGCUUCGGGGGUUCGAAUCCCUCCCUGCCCA